UUAAAUGGCCGCGGUAUUUUGACCGUGCUAAGGUAGCAUAAUCAUUAGUUUUUUAAUUGAAAGCUGGAAUGAAGGGUUGGAUGAAAAAAUAACUGUCUCAAAUUUAUUUAAUUAGAAUUUUAUUUUUAAGUUAAAAAGCUUAAAUAUUUUUAAAAGACGAGAAGACCCUAUAGAGUUUAAUAAUAAUUAAUUAUUUAAAUUUAGUAUUUAAAUUUUUAUAGUAAUAUUUUUAUUUAAUUGGGGUGAUUAAAAAAUUUAAUGAACUUUUUUUAUAUUUUUAUAUUAAUUGAUAUAUAAAUGAUCCUAAAUUUUAGAUUAUAAGAAAAAAUUACCUUAGGGAUAACAGCGUAAUUUUAUUUUAGAGUU
rnacentral:rRNA from 1 species